rnacentral:rRNA from 1 species
GACGAACGCUGGCGGCGUGCCUAAUACAUGCAAGUAGAACGCUGAAGGAGGAGCUUGCUCUUCUGGAUGAGUUGCGAACGGGUGAGUAACGCGUAGGUAACCUGCCUGGUAGCGGGGGAUAACUAUUGGAGACGAUAGCUAAUACCGCAUAAGAGUAGAUGUUGCAUGACAUUUACUUAAAAGGUGCAAUUGCAUCACUACCAGAUGGACCUGCGUUGUAUUAGCUAGUUGGUGGGGUAACGGCUUACCAAGGCGACGAUACAUAGCCGACCUGAGAGGGUGAUCGGCCACACUGGGACUGAGACACGGCCCAGACUCCUACGGGAGGCAGCAGUAGGGAAUCUUCGGCAAUGGACGGAAGUCUGACCGAGCAACGCCGCGUGAGUGAAGAAGGUUUUCGGAUCGUAAAGCUCUGUUGUAAGAGAAGAACGAGUGUGAGAGUGGAAAGUUCACACUGUGACGGUAUCUUACCAGAAAGGGACGGCUAACUACGUG